rnacentral:rRNA from 1 species
UCGAACGAGAAAGUGGAGCAUCCAUGAGUAAAGUGGCGUACGGGUGAGUAACACGUGGGUAAUCUACCUCUUGGUGGGGAAUAACCCUGGGAAACCGGGGCUAAUACCGCAUAAGCUCGGAAGAGGAAGCCCGAAAGGGGCCGAGAGAGGAGCCCGCGGCCGAUUAGCUAGUUGGUGAGGUAAAGGCUCACCAAGGCGAUGAUCGGUAGCCGGCCUGAGAGGGCACACGGCCACACUGGCACUGAAACACGGGCCAGACUCCUACGGGAGGCAGCAGUGGGGAAUCUUGCACAAUGGGGGCAACCCUGAUGCAGCGACGCCGCGUGAGCGAUGAAGCCCUUCGGGGUGUAAAGCUCUUUCGGCCGGAACGAUGAUGACGGUACCGGCAGAAGAAGCUGCGGCUAACUACGUGCCAGCAGCCGCGGUAAUACGUAGGCAGCGAGCGUUGUUCGGAGUUACUGGGCGUAAAGAGUGCGUAGGCGGUGCUCUAAGUUUGGUGUGAAAUCUCCCGGCUCAACUGGGAGGGUGCGCCGAAAACUGGAGUGCUCGAGUGUGGGAGAGGUAAGCGGAAUUCCUGGUGUAGCGGUGAAAUGCGUAGAUAUCAGGAGGAACACCUGCGGUGUAGACGGCUUACUGGACCAUGACUGACGCUGAGGCACGAAAGCGUGGGGAGCAAACAGGAUUAGAUACCCUGGUAGUCCACGCCCUAAACGAUGCAUACUUUGGUGUGAGCGAU